UACUAUUGCAAUGAUAGUAGAAUGUGGAGUGUUUCUACUAAUUACUUUGGCAAAUAUUUUUUUUUUAUUUUUUUUUAGCAAUAAUCAGUUUGAGCUAGUCAGAAGAUUUUGCUCUACAUUAAUAAACUGGCUUUACUUUUUCAAUGAUGAGAGAGAUCAAGAUCCAAAUUCAAGGAACAAUGACCAAGACGCUUAUCGAUACGACAGAAUGGAAUAGGAAUAUAAUAUGUAUAAUACGAGCCAUUGGUCAACGUUUAACUUGAAAAGUUGGAAUUGAGAUUGUUGCAAAUUGUUGCAAAGAUUUACUUAUAUACGAUAAAUAAAUCUUAAAUAUGUCAUUAGACAUUAUUUCCAACUUCAAGUCUUUCGAAUAAUGCAAGUUAAAAAGAAGGAAUACCGCAAACAUAAUUUUAAAUCGAGACCAG